rnacentral:lncRNA from 1 species
AUUUAUUUUCUUUAUUUAUUUGGCUGCACUGUGUCUUCGUUACGGCAUGCAGGAUCUCUAGAUGCGACAUGUGGAAUCUUUUUAGUUGCAGCAUGCGGAAUCCAGUUCCCUGACCAGAGAUGGAACUCGGGCCCCUACAUAGGGAGUUUGGAGUCUCAGCCACUAGACCACCAGGAAAGUCCCCCUGCCACUUUCUUGCUGACUCUCCACACCCCUUCAGGUAUUUGAAGAAAGAAGGGCUCUGCUUGGAAAAUGGGUAACUAUUUAAAGUAUACUUGAUUCUAAGUCAGAAAGAGAAAGACAAACACCAUAUGAAUAUCACUUAUAUGUGGAAUCUAAACUGUGGCACCAAUGAACCUACCCUCAAAACAGAAACAGACUCACAGAUGUAGAGAUCAGACUUGUGGUUGCCAAGCGGGAGGAGAGGAGGGAGCAGGACAGACCAGGAGUUUGGGGUUGGUAGAUGCAAGCUAUUACAUUUAGAAUGGCUAAGCAACAAGGUCCUACUGUACAGCACAGGGAACUAUAUCUAAUAUCCUGGAACAAACCAUAAUGAAAAAGAAUAUUAACAAAGAAAUGUAUAUAAAUCUAUAUAUCCAUAUCUAAGUUACUUUCACACUUCCUCAAAGGAAACAGUCUCAAUGACCAUUGUCCAUGAUCAAAGUACAGUAAGUCUACUCUGUAUGAAUGAGUUCUAUUCCAAAAGUGAAUUCAUAGGUCCAAUUUGAUCGUAAAUCCAACACAGUCAGCCUCGGUACCCAACCAGCACAACUGGCUACACCCCGCUGUUUGUAAGCUUGCUUCCAGACAUCCUGGGCUUGAAAUUAAAAAACUGCUCUACUGUACUGUAAAGUACACAAAAGCACAGCCACCUGUAGAGGAUGGACACACAUGACCGUGCACGCCAGAUACAUGAACUAAUGUGAUUGGACAUGCAAACACUCAUUUGCAUCUUUGAAAGUUCGAAACUCAAGUGUUUGUAUGAGGGGACUUACUCUAUCCAUCUCUGGCUAAUGUGUAUUACUCAUCAAAUUCCUCUACAGUCUCAUUGAGAGUCUCUUCCACCCAAAAGAAGUGGAAACAUGGUCAUACAAAAAUGUGUACACUAAUGUUCACAGUGGCAUUAUUCAUAAUUGUCAAAAAUAUAAACACCCAAAUGUCCAUUUGGUGAGAAAUGGAUAAACAAAAUGGAGUCUAGCCAACAAUGGAACAGUAUUCAGCCUUAAAAUGAAAGGCAGUUCUGUUUCAAGCUACUCACAUGAAUGAACUUUGAAGACAUUGUGCUAUGUGAAAUAAACCAGACACAAAAGGACCAAUAUUGUUUGAUUCCACUUUUACGAAGUUUUUAGAAUAGGCAGAUUCACAGAGAAAGAAAGUAAAAUAGAGGUUAUGAAGAAAUAGGGACGUUAUUUAACGGGUAGAGUUUCAGCUUGAGUUUUAAAAACAGUUCUGCAGAUGGAUGGUAGGGAUGUUGCACAACAAUGGGAGUGUGCAUCAUGUCACUGGACUGUACACUUAAAAAUGGUUAAAUUUUAAAAAGCAUGGGCAAGAAAAAAGAAUGAAGUACUGAUAUAUGCUACAACAUAGAUAAACUUUGAACAUAGUAUGCUGAGUGAAAAAAACCAGACACCGAAGCCAUGAGUAUAUGAUUCCAUUUGUAUGAAACAUUCAAAAUAGACAAAUCCAUACAGAUAGAAAAUAGAUGAGUGGUUUCUAGGAGCCAGGGAGCAGGAGAGGAGUGACUGACUGUAAUGGGUAUGGAAUUUAUCUUGGGGGGUAAUGAAAACGUUCUGAAAUUAGACAGUAAUGCUGGCUUUACAGCCUUGUGAAUGUACGAGUGCUGGGUGGUGUGGUGUAUGAAUUGUACCUUAAUUUUAAAAAAAAAAUCAGGAUGUAUACUAUCAUGUAAGAAUUGAAUCGCCAGUCUAUGUCUGACGCAGGAUACAGCAUGCUUGGGGCUGGCGCAUGGGGAUAACCCAGAGAGAUGUUAUGGGGAGGGAGGUGGGAGGGGGGUUCAUGUUUGGGAACG